rnacentral:rRNA from 1 species
UACAGAGGUCUCAAGCGUUGUUCGGAUUUACUGGGCGUAAAGGGCGCGUAGGCGGCCACCGCAAGUCGGUUGUGAAAUCUCUGGGCUUAACCCAGAAAGGUCAACCGAUACUGCGGGGCUAGAGUGCAGAAGGGGCAACUGGAAUUCUCGGUGUAGCGGUGAAAUGCGUAGAUAUCGAGAGGAACACCUGCGGCGAAGGCGGGUUGCUGGGCUGACACUGACGCUGAAGCGCGAAAGCUAGGGGAGCGAACGG